rnacentral:lncRNA from 1 species
GGCAAUCCAACAGCAGAAUGGGAGGAUAAAAUAAUCAGAACUAGAGGUGGGAAUUUAUAGAGAAGUCAUUCUCCCUUACAAAAGGGGCAUGCUUGAGCGAAGUGUACACACUUGCCACCAUGUUUCCCUCCUGUCAUAAAUGUGACAAGAGUAAUAUAGCUGAAGCAGCCAUCUUGUGACCACAAGCAACGGACUAGUAGGGGAAGAGUCGACACACUGAAGAGAAGAAAGCAAGGUUUUUUUCUAGAAAGAAGAAAGAGAAAAGUGGAUUCUCAACUAGAAGCAAAAACAUCCACUGAAGUUUGCCACAGAUCUUUCUGAGGAAGUACUACCAUAUGACUUCACCUUCUCAGGCUGAGGUAUCAGCUUGACUGUCACUCCACAGAUCAAGACUAGAGGUAAAUGUAAACACUAUACAGGUGGGAUGAGAAACAGCUGUUCAGCUGCCUGGCUAGAAGAACAGGCCCAGUUCUUUGCUACAGGAUGGACAUGGAAAAGUUCAGGCAUUUGAAGUUACUGGCGUCAGCCACAUGAGAUUGAUGACGGGAUUGGCUUCUACAAGAGGUCCAUGUGGUUCUCAUUUCUGAAAACAGAUGUUUGGAAACCAAUGUUUUCAAAGAUAAUAUGAAACUACACCAAUAUGCUGCACUAUGGAGAAAAACUAACCUUGACAGAAGAAAAAAGAUUUUCUUGAGGCAGAAGAUGAAGGACUAUUGGUCGGGACAUUCACAGAAGUCUGUUCUGUAAGUUGGGUUAUAUGGAAGCAGAGAUGCUAGGUCAACCCAUGUUGUGCCCUCCCUCUUUUGGUAAGCAAAACACUGAUGCUUAUGACAUCUUCCUUUUCUUUGGUGGUGGCCUUGAAAAUUGUUAUUCCUUCCAGAAAGGGCUGGAUGUCACUCGCUUAUGAAUUUGAAUCCUUCUCUUUUUGCCAAAUGAUAGAACUGAGCUUGCUCCAUGAGCUUCAUGUGUGUAAACAUUAGUGGGGAUCCAAGUGGCUCUGCAGGUAGAAUAGACACUCAGGUCCCUCCUGCCCAAGUCCAGGGGCUUGCUUCCAUGAAUCCAAUCCUUUAGUUCAUAUCAGUUCAUGGUGUACCAGAAGCCUCAACACAUCUGCAAAUUUUUACAGAACAUGUUUGUGCAAGGAAAUAAAUUAGGUCACCAGGCCUUCAAAGGCUCCUUCCACUUAGGGGUGGUGGAGCCCAUGAAGCUGAGAAUCACCCUUGCCAGCUGUUGGAACUUGAAAUAAUCCUCCAAAAACCUCUUGCUAUUUUAGGAGGGUCAUCCUGGUGGGUCUGUGUAUGCU